rnacentral:misc_RNA from 1 species
UCCUGGUUUCCCAGGCAGUCCCAUCAGAGUGCCUUCUUACGAAGUAGCAACUGACAGCAGGGGUUGCGCUCGUUAUAGGACUUAACCCAACAUCUCACGACACGAGCUGACGACAGCCAUGCAGCACCUGUUCAUAUGUCUUAGGUUUCCCUAAGAAGACCCCGUUUCUGGGGCUGUCAUAUGUAUGUCAAACCUAGGUAAGGUUCCUCGCGUAGUGUCGAAUUAAACCACAUGUUCCACCGCUUGUGCGGACCCCCGUCAAUUCCUUUGAGUUUUAAUCUUGCGACCGUAGUCCCCAGGCGGAUCACUUAUCGCGUUAGCUACGACACUGAAUCUGCAGAGCAAACCCAACGUCUAGUGAUCAUCGUUUACAGCGUGGACUAC